rnacentral:rRNA from 1 species
UACAGGGGGGGCAAGCGUUGUUCGGAAUUACUGGGCGUAAAGGGUUCGUAGGUGGCCACUUAAGUCAGACGUGAAAUCCCUCAGCUUAACUGGGGAACUGCGUCUGAUACUGAGUGGCUUGAGUGCAGGAGAGGAAUGCGGAAUUCCAGGUGUAGCGGUGAAAUGCGUAGAUAUCAGGAGGAACACCGGUGGCGAAGGCGGGUCUCUGGGCAACAACUGACGCUGAGGAGCGAAAGCGUGGGGAGCGAACAGG